UACGAAGGGGCUAGGCGUUGCUCGGAAUCACUGGGCGUAAAGCGCACGUAGGCGGAUUGUUAAGUCAGGGUGAAAGUCCUGGAGCUCAACUCCAGAACUGCCUUUGAUACUGGCGAUCUUGAGUCCGGGAGAGGUGAGUGGAACUGCGAGUGUAGAGGUGAAAUUCGUAGAUAUUCGCAAGAACACCAGUGGCGAAGGCGGCUCGCUGGACCGGUUCUGACGCUGAGGUGCGAAAGCGUGGGGAGCGAACAGG
rnacentral:rRNA from 1 species